GCCUGGUCGCCUCGUUCCGUUCGAUUCCAGAAAGCCGCGCCGGCCCCAGUCCCCAUGGGCUGAAGGCAGGUUGAGUUCUUCCCCAGGUCUGCGAGCCUCGAAGGCUUCUUUCAGACAGCAGACCCCUUAGAAGCGCAAGGCUGCUUUCUGACAAAGAAUCAAGUGUUCCUUUCAACCAGCCAAGGGACUGGUUUUCUCGCUGACCCUUUGACAGCUCCAGCCGGUCCCUCCAUUCGAGGUCCCUGACUUCCUGCAACAGACUGAGAUGGCCUUCUGAGCUUUUCCAGGGCUGACGACCACCUUCUUGAUACCUUCCCCUCUCUCGUUCUGAAUCCGUGCCCACCAGAUGGGGCCGUCUAGUUGCAGGAAAACAAGCUCAGGGCUCCCACUGAUUCUACAUGAUGGGAAUCCAGGCUUUCGGAGAUGAGGACUGGGAGGUCUCCAGACCACACAAGCCCCCUAUUUGCACUGGCCUUUGGAAUGAGCCUACAGCCUGCCUCCACUCCUCCUGGUACCCCAGCUGUUCUCAAGGAAUUGGCCAGAAGUCAGACUCCUUUCCCAGCUGUCCUCCACUUCUUUCCUGCCAGGCACCCUAGGCCCCAUGGUGGGAUUGGGCCUAUAGGCUGUGAUUUUCCACAUCCUUGUCAAACCUGUACUACCUGAAUGCCUAGAGGAAAAGAUACUGCCUUAAUUACUAUUAUGAGCA
rnacentral:lncRNA from 1 species